AUUGAACGCUGGCGGCAGGCCUAACACAUGCAAGUCGAGCGGAUGAAGGGAGCUUGCUCCUGGAUCCAGCGGCGGACGGGUGAGUAAUGCCUAGGAAUCUGCCUGGUAGUGGGGGAUAACGUCCGGAAACGGGCGCUAAUACCGCAUACGUCCUGAGGGAGAAAGUGGGGGAUCUUCGGACCUCACGCUAUCAGAUGAGCCUAGGUCGGACUAGCUAGUUGGUGGGGUAAAGGCCUACCAAGGAGACGAUCCGUAACUGGUCUGAGUGGAGGAUCAGCCACACUGGAACUGAGACACGGUCCAGACUCCUACGGGAGGCAGCAGUGGGGAAUAGUGGACAAUGGGCGAAAGCCUGAUCCAGCCAUGCCGCGUGUGUGAAGAAGGUCUUCGGAUUGUAAAGCACUUUAAGUUGGGAGGAAGGGCAGUAAGUUAAUACCUUGCUGUUUUGACGUUACCAACAGAAUAAGCACCGGCUAACUUCGUG
rnacentral:rRNA from 1 species